GGAUAGCUCAGUCAGUAGAGCUUGAAACUCUCAAUCCCAGAGGGCUGUGGGUUCGAGCCCCACGUUGGGUG